GGGGCUGCACUGUUAAUCCUGAGGCCUGGAGACGGGACUCGGUCGACACUGCGGUCAGACGAAAAUGGAACUUAAACGGCGCGGCCGCCACUGUGCUUAGGGUAAAGGGCCGGUUGUUCGUCUUAAAGACCUGGGGACGCGGGACCCCGUUAUUCAGGAAAUGCUUUAAACACAUCGAUUUUCCCUUCUUCCUUGUUGUCACCUUGCAAGAAAGUAAGUGGGAAAAACAAUUAAAUUUUGUAAUUUCAUGGUAACACAUUCCUGAAGCUGGAAGGGGCCUCAAGAGAUGAUAUGGUCAAAUCCUCUUGUGGCAGGAAGAUUUUACAGGAGAGAAGGAUAAGGACCAGAAAGUCAAGUGAUAGGCCUAAGAUGAAUUCCAUGAAAACAAGUUUUGGAGGCUUCUGGCUCCUUGUACAGUGGUCUGUGAUGAGACCCAUGUGUUCCCUCUGUGGUCAUCUGGGAAGCAUCAGGCACUUAUAAGAGAUGGACCAGGGAGGAUAUAUUUAUUUGUUUAUCAUAGAUUAAAAUCAUAGACGAAACAGUGGAUCUGAUAGGCAUGCACAAGCCAGGUCCAGACAUUGAAAUAUUCAAUCCAUCAUCUACAUCUUGUAAAUAAUAAAUCCACUGUGGUUUACAUACAAUGUUUAAUGCCCGAAGAAUUAAUUGAAGAUACUGGUGGAGGUGUCGAACCAGAACCAUUAGCCCUCCAUCCUCAUUGACUUCCCUGGACCAUUCUGUUUCUCCUCUCCUGGAUUGUCCUGAAUGUAGAGGAAACUCCUCUAUAGCUUCUAAGCAACCCAGUGCACUUAACAACCACAAGUUUAAAUAGAGAUUCUGACACCGGGCAUACAGCCGGACAGAGAUCAGACGAUCUAUAAGAUUUGCAACAGGUCUCCCCUAGAUCAAUAGGAAUAUCAUUUUCCAUCAAACACAUGGUGUGAAACCCUCCACAAGGCCCCUGAACUGAAAAUACAUCAUCGAGUGGCUUGUAGUGAAUUGCGCCAGCAAUUACUCCUGCAUGAUCAUCAUAGAAUCUUGCAGAUUGAAGUGUGGCAAGUGAUAAUUGUGUCAGGAGGUUUGCAGAAACUGCUCCACACAAGUCUGCACAUUCUGCUUGUUCAGUAACAGUAGGAUCACCCAUAGUGUGUACCACAACUUUUGUAACAUGGCAAACAUCAACAACUACUUCAACAGGAGUAUCUUUGGAGACAACAAUAAGUUCAACCCUUUGGUAAGCAACUAAACCCUUAAGCAAAUGGAAAAGAUGCCAAAACUGAGAUAAGGGAAUUAAAUGCAUAGUUGAGUGCAUUUGGCAACUUGCUCCUCUAAUAAAAGACACCAUCUCUUUAA